GGGGGGGGGGGGGGGGGGGGGGGGGGGGGGGGGGGCGGGCGGGGGGGGGCGGCGGGGGGGGGGUGCUCGAGGGGCGAACGGGUGAGUAACACGUGAGUAACCUGCCCUUGACUUUGGGAUAACUUCAGGAAACUGGGGCUAAUACCGGAUAGGAGCUCCUGCUGCAUGGUGGGGGUUGGAAAGUUUCGGCGGUUGGGGAUGGACUCGCGGCUUAUCAGCUUGUUGGUGGGGUAGUGGCUUACCAAGGCUUUGACGGGUAGCCGGCCUGAGAGGGUGACCGGCCACAUUGGGACUGAGAUACGGCCCAGACUCCUACGGGAGGCAGCAGUGGGGAAUAUUGCACAAUGGGCGGAAGCCUGAUGCAGCAACGCCGCGUGCGGGAUGACGGCCUUCGGGUUGUAAACCGCUUUCGCCUGUGACGAAGCGUGAGUGACGGUAAUGGGUAAAGAAGCACCGGCUAACUACGUG
rnacentral:rRNA from 1 species